rnacentral:lncRNA from 1 species
GAACCCCCUCUCAUUCCUAUCUCCUUCAACCAAACCCUAAGAGACCAUCCGCCACUAAAUUCCUCGCCGCCUCCGUCGCUAACCACCACCGAAAAUCACCUCACGACGGUUCCGGUGUUCCAAACAUCACCAAAUCAACACCCCAGAACCUCCGUCAUCUCCCCUUUCCAAAUAUCUUACCCAGUUCCUUCGAAUUAUCACCAAACAUCUCGAAUCUUAAAUCUAAGAUCGAUGCCUAAACACCCUAGUUCACCAAAAUGCCACCAAAUUAACACCCUACAAUCCUCACACCCCUCCGAACCCUAAACUAGCAUCAAUCCCCUUCGAAUCAGCCUCAAUUUCCUUGAAUUUUGAAUCUGAAGUCCCAGGAACCCUAACUUUCUUUCACUUCCAAAUUUCCGACAGUUUUUGGAGCUUUUGACUCCAAGAUUUCGAUGAAUCCAUUGCUCUUGAUAAGAGCAGUUGAUUGAUGGUUGUCUAAAGUUUAUUUGUACCCCGAAAAGUUGGGUCAAAAUUCAAAGACGAUCUAGUUUUAUUGUUGGAAGAAUUUAGCAAUAGGUAAUCUCUUGUAACUUUUUCUUUAGUUUUUCUUUUGGUUUCAGUCUUUUACCCUUAUUGUUAAUUAUUUUUGAUUUGGCCGUAUGAUUUGGUUACCUUUUCUUUUGUUUAGCUUCAUUAAUUACAUGUUUAGAUUUCAUCAUUAGGAGUUUAAUUUGCCUAGUUUCAGCAUGUCUAGUUUCUGAUACCCCUUUUGUUUUGUUCCUUUUUUCUUUCAUGAUUGUUCAUCUUGCAAGUUUGUUUCCAGUAUCUAUUAGUUUAACUACCUAUUUCAGCUAAUUUCUAAUUGAUUCAGCUUUAGCCUGAUAUAGCCUCAUCUUAGUAAAAAUAGGUUAAUUUUGAUUUUUUGAUGUUUCUUUGCACAAAGCAUGCUCAAUCUCAUUAGUUGUUUGAAUGUGAGACUGCUUAGGGUUAAUUGAGUUUAAGUUUUUCAAUUAGGUUUGAAUCUCUUAAUAGCAACUCAAAUUUUAGUUUAAUAUUAGAAAAGUAAACUGCAAUUCCCUAGGUUUGCAAAUUAGGGCAACCUAAUCACUUGUUUGUUUCUAGAAGGUCCUAAAAUGGUUGGAAUUGAUUUGAAAUUGAAAAUAGGACAAAGCUGAAAUAGUCAGUAAUUAAAAGGUUAAAAUGGACUUUUACAUAGGCUAAUAUCAUAAUGUUCUAGAUUUUGCAUAGCUGUCCCCAUCCUUAGCAUAAAAAUGCUGGUAUUGGAUAAGAAAAAUGAUAGACAACUGUAAAAAAGAUGUUGUACUAUUUUGCAGUUUCAAAAUUAGGUUAGAAUAUUCCUUUUUGGAUGCCUUUUGUACACUCUAUAAAAAGAAAAUAUUCCCUCACUCACACACACAUAUUCAUCACCAUUCUCUGCACAAAAGUUUUCUAAAAAAACAUCAUAUUUCAGAAACUCUAGAAAACAUUUAAAACUCCUUAUUUCUGGUUUUCACAAGCUAAGAAACAUGGUUUGAAGUGGGGGAUUUUCUUGGUUUCUUUAGCUGGGAUUUCUAGUUUCAAAGUUGGCUGGAUUUGGUUUAAAUUUCUAAUUUCUUUUAGGCUGCUGUUACUGUUAUUGAUUUCUGCACCUUCAAGCUUCAGCUGGCUUUCUUUGUUCAUCUUUUUAUUUGCUGGCUUUAUUGCUGUUUGUUCAAGGUACUAUGUUUAACCUUUUUCAUGUAAAGCUUUUAUUUGAAAUGAUAUGAAAUUGAAGCUGCUAGAAUUCAUAUGAUAGUGCAUUCUCAUGAUUAACUUGUGAUUGUGUUGAUUGGGUCUGAUUAGUUUUCUAUUUUAUGAGCUUUUGACAUGGUCAGUUUUGUUUAAAAGAACCUUGAUGUAUUGUAUUUUCUCCUUUUAGAACUAACUUUGUGUGAAGAUGCCUUUUCAGUCACAUGUCUGUAAUCUGCAGAUUUGGCCACCAGUUGGCCAAAUCAGCUAGAUCUAAGCUAAAGAUAGGAUUCUGCUGGUUAAAAGUAUGCUAAAAUUGUUAUUUUCCAUGUGGUGGAUCAACUGUGAUGGACAAAUCAUGUCCAAAAGAGGCAAGUAUUGGUUGUGUUGCUGAAAUUGUAAUAGAGUAGUUUUGUUUACAUAAUAGUUUAUAUGUUAAUAGGUCUGAUGCAACAUGCUUGGGAUUUUCUGGAAAAACAUUCUUCUUUCAUUUGUUUAUUUAUUCGGGACUGUAAUAAAUUAAAUUUUAAUAUCAUGUUAAGGAUCAAAAUAUUUGCUCUAGGGGUACAUUUGUUUUGUCAUUCUAUUAUUACCAUUAUGGUGGAACAAGCUAAGCUAUGAGCCCUAUCCGUAAGGAUAAAGGGCUAUUCUCUAAUUCAAAUGGGCUGAAGCUAUGAGUAAACCCAGAUGAAAAAUACCAAAGAAUCUGGGCUUAGCCCAUUGGGCCUGAGCCACAAGAGUGAAAAAUUGUCUUUCACCCGUAAAAAGGUUUCCUGUAUCAGUCAUAUUGUAAAUAUAUGUUUUUAUUCAUCUUGCAAACCAUGUAAUCAAUUGAUGAAUUAGAGUUAUGUUGUAUAUCCAGAUUUUAUUUGAAAGCAAGUUGAUUUUUAAUUAUUGUAAAUAUGUGAGUAAUGGUUAAAGGUAGAGGUGGACAGGCCCAGUUGGAAAACAAAUAGUGACUGAGCCCGCCUAUUACAAGUCCAAUAUGUGCCAGCUUUGUUCAAAUCGGACCAGCAAGGGCAUGUUGAGGCUCUUUCGUUUUUUUGGGCCAGGUCUUAAGCCUAAAAAAAGCUUUUCAAAGAUGAUUUUUUCCCGAUUUAAUCAAACGAUGAGCGUCCAGGCCCAAACUCCUUUUCAAAAGAAAUAAUUCAAAAGCCUAGCCCUCUCACACUUUAAGCUAAAAGGCUCAUAGUUUGAACUUAAAAUUAGGACUUAAAUACAAGUAUCCUUAGUCUUGCUUAAGUGAAAUGCAACCCUUUGUUAAAAUAAAAUUGAGAUGUGCCAUACACAAACAAAAAUUCAUAAGCUAUGACCCUCACAUUAAUAUUAACUUAGUAUUAAACGAUCUUAAAUACUCGCAGUUUGCUUUAGGCUCGACAUAGAUUAUUAUUGUAAUUAUGUAUACGUUCGCGUAAUAUAAUUACGAAUUUAAUUCUAAAAAGUAAUUCGAGAGAUGCGUUCACGCAACUUCAACCAAACAUUUUUAUAAUAAAAUAAACAAAGCGUUAUUAAUUGUGGACACGUUCGCGUGACAUAAUUUUUGAUGCGCCAAAAGAAAAGAGUAUAUGUACGCGUAACUCAAUUCUUUAAUUACGAAUAAAUCAAGUGAUUAAAAAUGAUAAAAGAUAAAUGUACAUAGGUCCUAAAAAAUGAGUAAUUAGAUAACCUAAGCCAAGUAUAAAUCGCUAAGCGACCGUGCUAGAACCACGGAAUCCAUGAAUGUCUAACACCUUCUCCCGGGUUAACAGAAUUCCUUAUCUAGAAUUUUUGGUUUGCAGACUUUUAAAAUAAAGUCGAAAUUCCUUAAUUUGGGUUUUAAAAAUAAACCGGUGACAUGGGACACCAUAAAUUAUCCCAAGUGGCGACUUUGAUAAAUUAAUUAAUCCCAUCUCGAUUAAUGUCACUUAAAUAGGAAAAAACUCCCAUAUACCCUCGGGUGUAAAAAGGAGGUGUGACAGCUCUGGCGACUGUACUGGGGAUAAGAACCCAGAACUUCUGGUUCAGGGUUCAAGAAUUCGAGCUUGCUAAUGUGAUUUUUAUUUGGCUUUAUUUAUUGUUGAUAUUACUGUAUUUUGUGAACCUAAUGUGCUUAUUGCCAUUUAUUUACCACUUUAAUAUUACUUGAACUGUAUUUAAAUGUCUUCUUACGCCUCCCCUCUAAGUCUUCUAAACAAAAUGGUGCUCACAUUCGCGUGGCCCACUUUUCUGUUAGAGUUAUACCAAAUAGAAUGGGGCUGGGCAAGCAAGGCUGGGCAGACUUUCGUGCUCCCGGUACGUUGCCCCCUCCUCGACUCGAGUUUAUCCUCUCGGGUAAGCCAGGUUUAGAACACAACCCUAGGUUUAAACCUAGAAUAAUGCAACCUCAUGUCGGAUCCCUAGUAGAAACGUUUGUUUGCAGCAUAUGCAUUUGACCUUGGGGACUCAACAUAGGGGUUGGGUCCGUCUAGGACAAGUGUACCCAAAAUAAUAGACCAUCCUGAUGCAUCUUACGUGCUAUAUGAAUAUUUAUUUGUUUCGGCUUGCAUGUUGACCAGCUAGGAAAAGAAAUUCAAGAGAAAAAAAACAAAGAGUGAGAUAGGAUAGAGAAUUUACCCGGUUCUAAAAAUCUCGGUAUUUGAAAAUAUCUCGAAACUCUGCCAAAUUUUUUGAAAAAAGAAAAAAAAGAAAAUGUAUUUAAAAAAAAAGUGAGUCAGAUAUCAUGUUUUUUAUGUCAAAAUUAACCGAACUACGCAGGUCUGAUUCACACUGGAUGUGGGAUACGUAGGCAACCCACAUAAGGUUCAGCCUCAUUUUUUACAAAAAAUAAUUAAGUAAAGUGUAGUUUAGGGUUUUGGUCAAAAGAAUAAGCUAACCCAGCUUCGGUUGUGAUUUAAGUCGUUCUUGCCAGGAUAGCCUUACAUAUCUUUCAAUUGUCAAACGGCUAUUUUCGUGAUGAACGGGAAAUUCUGUCAGUAAGGUAUCUUUUUCCAUAAAAUACCUUCCCCUGACCUCAAAAUUUGUUUGGAAUUGUGAAGGGCCACGUUUACAAAAACGACCAUUUUUGCUAAAGUAGCAUAAGGGGGGUCAUUUUCCGUUGAUUUUUCUUUUAGUAAUCAAAAACUUAUUUUGCAAAAGAGUCCACAAGAGUCAACCCUAGCCUCAACCCUCCAUAGGUACAAAUGAAUAUUGUCCAGAACCCGUCACAAUUGGUCAUAAAAUAGGCUCAGCUGCUGCUUCGCAUGUGGUGGAAUGAUUUAGAUAAAGAUGGUCCGGAUUGGGUAAAAAAGCAGUUGGGUGCCCUUAUAGACAUACAUAGAACCCCAGGAGAAUCUAAUCAAAGCUUUGGUAACCUUUUGGGAUCCUGUCCACAACAUGUUCCGUUCUCGGAUUUCGAGUUCAUCCCUACUCUAGAGGAAAUGGCCGGAUGCAUUGACUUUGUCUAGGACUUGAUGAAACAAUAACUUAUAUUCCCGAAGGCUCCCUCUGUGCACAAGUUCUUUGAUUUUCUAAAUAUAAACAAGCAAUGAAGAAGGCCCAUGUAAGCAAAGGGUGUUGUUCUUUCUACUUCUUAUAUUUCAGGUUCGGGCACCCAGCUUGGUUUGAAACGCAUGGGAAGAGAUUAACCAACAAAGAAGAUAAGAGCACCUGGCAGAUUCAUCGCCAGUUCGCUUUCAACGUGGCAUUUUUGGGAAUCAUGGUCUUUCCGAUGCAGAAGGGACAAUAGAUACUCGCAUGGCCAGAAUUGCACAAAUCCUCACUACUAAGAAAUAUCACACACUUGUUCCGUUAGUGCUGGCAGACAUUUAUCGAGCACUAACCUUGUGUAAAUCUGGGGCUCAGUUCUUUGAGGGUUGAAAUAUUCUUCUUCAAAUGUGGUUAAUCGAACAUCUCCGCUGUCACCCCAAGUUCAUGAGUUAUGGCUCGGACGGGAACAACUUCAUCAAGAAUUAUAAGGAAAGGGUGGAAGAUUACAAAUCUCCAAAAAGGUUUGAGGCCUGGGUCUCCCACAUAAAAAUUCUGAAAGCAACUCAAAUUGAAAGGACCAUAGGAUAGCUUCCGGUGACGGAAGUCAUUUACAUGACGGCUUCAAAAGGCUACUUGAUGAUGAUGGGUCUAAGGGGUAUCCAACCAUAUACACCGCAAAGUGUUCUAAGGCAACUGGGAAGAUAUCAAGUGGUACUCGAAGAUGUAGAUUUGAGUACCCAAGUCAUUGAGCUACACCCAGAAGCAAUACUACUUGAGGCUUUAGUCCAACGUGAUUGGAAUGGUUGUCGAUAUCUGAAAAGUGACACCCAGGUACCAGAUCUUGCGAGAGGUGAAGUGGAUCCAAAUUAUGUUGCAUGGUUUGAGAGAAGGUUUUGUGCGAAUGAUGAGCCAGAGCCCGAACCUGAAAGGCCCGCCAAAAGACCUCAUGUUCAAGAUUUUGAUGACAAAGUCUGGGAAUGGUUUGCCUGGGGAGAGAAGGAGAAAAAAUAUCAAGCCACCAUUCACGCUUUACAAUAAGAAUUGAGAAACAUCAUAUUCAAUAAUGAUCUACAGGAACAAGAAGCUGAAGGUGAAAGAAGAAGGUUGCCCCAAGAAAAUGAAGCUCUCCGGGCCCAAGUUCGAAAGAUGAGAAUAGCAGCUGAGAACCCGGGCAGAAGCAGAAAAGAUGAAAAGCUCAUCUACAUCCUUACGCAAAAAGUACGUGACUAUGAGGAUGAUUUGCAAAAGACUGAGGCUACAAUAGUGAAAGUUCGAACAAAGUUGGCCAGAAAUACAGAAGAACGGGCAACUUUUGUUUGACAAUUGAAGGGAAAAUAUGACAGAGGGGUCCUGGGCUGGAAAAAGGAGCUUAAUAGCCUUGAAUGUGAAAUGACUAAACAAGCCAAGAGCUUCAAAGCCGAUAGACAACAUUGCUAUGCUUUGAUGGCAUAGCUAGAGGAAGACCUACAACAUUUACAAGAGCAGAAUCAUACGGCCACCCAUGUUUUGGAAUCCAUAUCUCAGCAGAUUGGGCGUUUGUUACAAGAAAAGGGCAUCAUCAGGGAAAUGGUUAGAAGAAUCGUCGACUAUAUUGUGAUGAAGUGCAAGGAGUACGAGGACAUGACCAGGUCCAUGUUCUUUGCCAUAAUAAUGAUCUUUGUUCGCCAGAUAAUGGAUGACCUCUAUCGCCUCUAGGAUGACAUGGCAUGCAGGCCUGCGGCAAGACCAACCGGUGUUCUUAGGGCAAGAUUAGAGGCACUUAUGUACUCCUGAUUGUUUUCCUUUCUCUUUUCGAGUCUGUAUUUUCAUUCCUAGAGUCUGUUUUGAGUCUGUUUUAGUUUCUCGAGUUUUAAGUAUGUAUGAUUGAGUCUUUGUAACAGAAUUUUUUGUUUUAAUGAAAAUUUGAAAAACCCAAAAAUUCUUUAUUUUGCAUUUAUCCUUUGAACUACUUGAUGAUCUGAUUCACGCGGUGUCGUGAUAUGUAGGCAAUCCCUAUCAGAUCCGAUCAUGGUUUUAAAUAACUCAAAUAAAAGAGAAAAUGACGAAAAGAGAAAACCAAAAGGAAAAAAAGAAAAGAGAGAAAAUAGUGAGAGAGUGCAAAAGAAAGCAAGAGAAAGAUCGGGGAGAUAAACAAAAGCCGGGAUGAGACAUGCAAUCGUUGCAAAACAUGUAGAAACACAUUUAACUGUAUAGGUGCAUCACUCCCCCAAUGUGCGAUUCCCUAUGUGUUAAUUUCCUCGAACUAACCGGUUUGUUGUGUCUACUGUUGAGAUUAGGUUCAGUUUUAAGGUGGUUGGUUUUGUGGUAACCUGGCUUCGCACCCUUACGUUACAAGAUCCAAGGGAAGUGUCGAAUUGUCAUCAGAAAGUCAUCUACCAACAAUUCCCAUCCCAGAGGAUAGCCCGAUAUCGGUUAUCCCAACCUCAGAGUCAGCAGAUGCUAAAGAGAAUAGGGCACUUUGCCUCCGCCUAUUGGAAAUGUGGGAUGCUUGGUCCAAUGGUAGAGAGCCAUGGGUGCAAUACCUGGUUUCCCCGAGCUACUUCCCAGAGCAAGUGGAACUUCCAAUAUCCUAAUAAGUUACCCGAACACCCCACUUGGAUACCUCACCAUGUCAGCCCACUUCGCUGAAACGCCUUCAGAGGUUCGCCCCCAGGCAUUGAUUUUGGGAGUGGCUUCUAACAUAUUCAUGGAACCACUAACUUCGGCAACGACACAACCAACCUUGCCCAGGCCAAGUUUUGAUCCAUCUUCCUUUACUUUACAAGUACCAUCUUUUCCACCAGACACUGCUCAUUUCACCACCAAUUCUUACCCUUAACAACCCCGGUAUGCGUUUACCGUGGGGCAAGAGAGAGCUACAAAGAAUCUCUAACAAGAAGAAAUCACUCGGAAAACGAGAAGCAUGGAACAAAGCCUUAAGAAUAUAAAAGGUUUAAGUGGCCAAAAGAGCGUAUCCUACACUGAUUUAUGUAUGUUCCCGCAUGUUCAUUUGCCCAUUGGUUUCAUGACCCCCAAGUUUGAAAAGUAUGAUAGGCACGAGGACCCCAUAGCCCACCUCAAGAGGUAUUCCAAUCAACUAAGAGGGGCAGACAGAAAAGAAGAGCUCCUAAUGGCUUAUUUCAGAGAGAGUCUUGUUGGCAUUGCCUCCGAGUGGUAUAUGGAUCAAGACAUAUCUCGCUGGCAUAUAUGGGAUGAUUUGGGUUGAGAUUUCGUCAGGCAAAUACAGUACAACAUAGAUAUAGCUCUAGAUAAAAAUUCCCUAUCUAAUCUCAAAAAGAAGUCUUUGAAGAGUUUCCAAGAAUAUGCUGUUAAAUGGCGCGAACAAACGGCCAGGGUGAAGCCCCGAUGGAUGAGACCGAGAUGGUCAGUGUUUUUUUACAAGCCCAAGAGGCUGACUAUUUCCAGAAUAUGAUGUUUGCAAUGGGAAAGCCGUUUGCUGAGGCUAUAAAAAUUGGGGAGAUUGUCGAAAAUGGUUGAGCUACAUCCCAAGCAAUCCAGAGUAGGUCAGGAGGUGUAGCAAACAGAAAGAAGAAAGAAGAAAGAAGAAAGAAGAAGUGGCGAUGGUGGCUUCAAGUCUGAGAAACCCCCGUCAACUCCGAGGUUCCUUCUCGCCAAACACCCCGCAACAUCAUUAUCCUCACCAGGAUGUGGCUUAUGCCAUGGCUCCUCAGCCUUAUGUGGUGAUGAAUGCCCAGCCACACGCUCGACUACAACAACAGUUUAACCAAAACCGAGCUCCACUUCCUAGAAAUAACCUUCCUUACCAAGUUCCACAUAAUCCCCGUCCCCCACAAAAUAAUUUUCCAUACAAUGCCCAUGCCCGGGAGCCACCCAGAAGAACCAACUUCAUGCCUAUUGGUAAAUCAUACUCUAGCCUUUUGCCUAAGCUGGUCCAAAUGGGUAUGUUGUAACCCAUACCCCAAAACAGGCAGAACCUAGAGUCACCCUCCUACCGACACGGUGCUCGAUGUGCUUAUCAUUCUGGGGCAAAAGGGCAUGACACUGAGGACUGUUAGACUCUCAAAAUGGCAAUAAAAAACCUAAUAGAGCAAAAAGGGUAGUGCUAAAAGAUUAAGAAAUCCCCAAUGUGACCAAUAACCCAUUGCUGGCUCACAACAACGGGCCAGUUAUUGGGAUGAUUUGUGAAGAUAAAGAGUUUGACCCACCUCUAAAAGCCAUCAUUGCUAUCGCCGAUGUUGAAAAGAAGCCAAGGGUGGUUGACAACUAAGAAAAGGGGGAGAAGAACAACAACUCCACUUCUAGAAGUAUAGAAAUGACUGUGGAGGCCAAAAUAUGGGCAGUACCUCCUAAGGAUGCCAUUCUUUACGUUCCCCGGGCCUUCAGGAAAGAACAAUUUGCGUUGAGUCCUCCUUUCGAGCUGAACAAGGGACCUAAGAUGUAUGUACCCAAAGGAACUUAUAUGGCGUGGGGACCAGUAAUUCCACUCAGGCUGAACAAGCCCGUGAUCAUUAGCCGCGCACCAUAAAAGCCCAUGAAAGACCCCACUGCAGUCCCCUGGAACUACAACAGAGCAAUUGUGACGUACAAGGGGAAAGGAAUUAUGGGGAUGUAUAUGAAACUAAACCAUCUGGGAAGUAACUCAAUUUGGAAGAAGUGAACAACGCCAAGCAGAAGCGUUUCCUGCUUAAAAAGCCAGUCACUGCCGAAGAAGCAGAGGAAUUCUUUCGAAAAAUGGAAACUAUGGACUACGAGGUAAUUGACCAACUCCGGAAGUCUCCCUCUUAGGUCUCGCUUUUGUCUCUACUGAUAAGCUCGAAUGAGCAUCAAAGUUUUGAUAAAGACCCUCAAUGAAGCAUAUGUUCCGAUUGAAACUAGUGUCGAGCAACUGGAAAGAAUAGCGGAGCGAUUCUUUGAAGUCAACGGGAUUUUAUUUAGCGAGAAUGACUUGCCCACAGAAGGGGCUGCCCACAACAAGGCUCUUCACUUGACAGUCAAAUGUGAAUGGUACUGAGUGAAAAUAGUCAUGCUGGAUGGCGGAUCUGUGGUUGACAUCUGCCCUCUCUCAACUUUGCAAAGAAUGGAAAUUGUGACUAAGAGAAUCAGGACUAACAAUGUUUGUGUAUGUGCUUUUGAUGGCAUCAAGAGAUACACAAUAGGAGAGAUUGAUUUGAUCUUGACUAUCGGUCCGGUGGAUUUUGAAAUGACAUUUCAGGUCUUGGACAUGGAUACCUCCAAUAAUUUUCUCUUACGAAGGCCUUGGAUCCAUGCUGCAGGGGCCGUACCUUCUACUCUCCACCAAAUGAUAAAAAAUGAACACAAAGAUCAGGAAAUCGUGGUCCAUGGAGAGGACGUGCAAUCAAUUUACAGGAACCUGUCAGUCCCAUGUCUCGAGGCUAGGAAAGGUAGCGAGCACAUAGUCUAUCAAGCAUUUGAGGUUGUGGUCACAGAUCAAUGUGAGGAAGGAAGCCCAUGUCCUCAACCUUUUUUGUCAAAUGCAUCAAUCACGAUCGUUACUGAAAUGAUCAAGCACAGGUAUAAGCCCGAGAAGGUGCUCGGGGUAUCGUUGCAAGGUAUUACGAAACCUUUCACUUUGGCUGCCAGUGAGAAGUUUUUCGGUGUAGGUUUUAAAACCACCAAAGCUGAUGUGACAUGGGCAAAUAAAUGACAGAGCAAUGGUUGGGUGUUGCCUCAGUCGGUCCCGCAUCUCUCCAAAACAUUCGUCAAGCGAAAGUACAUAGAGGAAGAAGAAGAUGAGGCCUUCAUGGCCGAAUAAAUUGAGGACAUAUGUGGAUCUAUAAGGAAAAUGUUAUAUAAAGCUCACAUUGUUCAGCCGGGUGAAGGCUCGAGCACUGCUGAGGUAAAAUUUAUGGGGCCCAAUGCCAAGCUGCAAAAUUGGAAGGCUACUCCAUUCCUAGUCAGAAGGGAAUCCCGAUAGUCCCGUCUUGCCACCUUUUCUACAUUCCGAGUUAUUCCAGGGUGUAACUCGAAUGUUUUAUUUUAUGUUUAUUGUCUUUAAAAUUCCAAUGUAAACCCAUCUAUCUUCAAAUUCAAUGAAAUGAAAUCGAUAUUUCAUCGUCUAUGAAUCUCUUUCUUUAUUCUUUCUGAUUUUGUUAUUUUUCUUAUUUCUUCUUUCAGUUCUAAUAAUGCAAACAUAAAUAACAUGACAUGCUUGUGGACUUCAUGCCCAGAUCCUAACGCGCUAUCUAAUUGUGAAAUAAUGAAUCAAGAAUCAGAAUACGAUGAAGAUGAGGCUUUUAGGGAAAUAAAUCGAGAACUGGAACAAUUUGAGAAUAAGCCUAAGCCAAACCUAAAUGAAACUGGUCCAGUUAAUUUGGGUAGUUCAGAAGAGGUCCAAGAAACCAUGAUCAGCAUUCACACUGAUGAAAUGACUAGGGAUGCAUUGAUCGAACUUUUGUUCGAAUUCAAAGAUGUGUUUGUUUGGUCCUAUGAUGAUAUGCCAGGACUAAGGGUUGAUUUAGUGGUGCACAAAUUGCCAACUUACCCCGAUCAUCCCCCUAUCCGGCAAAAACAGAGGAAGUUCAAAACUGACAUCAGUGACAAGAUCAAAGAAGAGAUCACCAAACAGUUAAAUGCGGGGGUGAUCUGAGUGGUCCGAUACACCACAUGGUUGGCUAAUGUGGUUUCACUGCCAAAGAAACAUGGGAAAACUCGAGUGUGUGUUGACUAUCAGGAUUUGAACAAAGCAAGUCCCAAAGACAACUUCCCUUUUCCAAACAUUCACAUCCUUGUUGACAACUGUGCCAAACAUGAGAUACAGUCUUUCGUGGAUUGCUAUACUGGAUAUCAUCAGGUUUUGAUGGAUGAAGAAGACGCGGAAAAGAUAGCAUUCACCACAUCCUGGGGCUCCUAUUGUUACAUUUUUGGUUUGAAGAACGCUGGGGCAACUUACAUGAGAGCUAUGACUGCCAUCUUUCAUGACAUGAUACACUAGGAAAUCGAGGUGUAUGUGGACGAUGUUCGGGAUCUGAGAAAGUUCUUUGAGUGUCUGCGUAAGUAUGACUUGAAGUUAAAUCCAACCAAAUGUGCAUUUGGAGUUCUGUCUGGGAAACUCUUGGGAUUUAUAGUCAGUCGGAGGGGCAUCGAGCUAGAUCCCACUAAGAAAGUCUAAUCGGGAUUUGCCUCCUCCGAGAACUAAGAAAAAGGUUAUGAGUCUGUUGGGAAGGUCGAAUUACGUCAGCCGGUUCAUUGCUCAGUUGACUUUCACACGUGAGCCCAUAUUUAAGCUGUUGAAGAAAGAUGCAGCGAUUAGAUGGACAAAUGAGUGUCAAGAAGCCUUAGACAAAAUCAUAGAAUAUUUGUCGAAUCUACCAGUCUUGGUCCUACACGAACCUUGGAGGCCUUUGUUUUUGUAUUUGACAGUGUUGGAGAAUUCCUUUCGGUGCAUUCUUGGGCAACAUGAUGUGACCGGGAAGAAAGAACAAGCAAUAUACUAUUUGAGCAAGAAGUUCACUAGUUAUGAAGCCAAAUACACUUUGUUGGAAAGAACUUAUUGCGCCCUGACCUGGGUUGCUCAGAAACUUAGGCAUUAGUUGUUGUCUUAUACCACCUACCUCAUAACCAGGUUGGACCCUCUGAAAUACAUAUUUCAAAAGCCGAUGCCCACAGGAAGGUUAGCAAAAUGGCAAUUCCUGCUCACCGAGUUCGACAUAAUCUAGCAAAAUGGUAAAUCAUGCCCACCGAGUUCGACAUAAUCUAUGUCACCCGCACGGUAAUGAAAGCUCAAGCUUUAGCGGAUCACCUAGCUGAAAAUUCUAUUGAUGAUGAAUAUUAGCCUUUGAGUACUUACUUUUCGGACGAGGAAGUAAAUUCAGUUGAGGUAAUCUCAGAAGACACCAAUGCCUGGAAAAUGAUCUUCGAUGGAGCUGUGAACGUAAAAGGUGUCGGGAUUGGGGCAAUCUUGAUCUCACCCACUGGUCAGCACUAUCUGGUCACAGCCCGGCUCCAGUUUUUCUGCACAAAUAACACUGCCGAGAAUGAAGCCUGCAUUAUGGGUAUGAACAUGGAAAUAGACCAAGAUGUGGAAGAAUUGUUAAUUAUGGGAGAUUCAGACUUGAUUAUCCGACAAGCUCAGGGUGAAUGAGAAACUCGGGAUGUCAAGCUUAUUCCAUACAGGCAAAGUGUGGAUGAUCUUAGCAAGCGGUUCAAGUUCGUCGAGUUCAGGUACAUUCCUCGGUUUCACAAUGAGUUAGCUGAUGUACUAGCUACUUUGGCCUCGAUGCUACCAUAUCCAGGAAAUGUCCACAUUGACCCAUUGGAAAUCCAAAUUCAUGAAAGGCAUGGUUAUUGUAGUGCAGUUGAAAUAGAGCCUAACGUUCAGCCAUGGGAUCAUGAUAUCAAAAGAUUCUUAAAAACAAAAGAAUAUCCCGAACAAGCUAGUGGAGACCAAAAGAGAACUAUUAGAAGGCUUGCCGGUGGCUUCUUCUUGAGCGGAGAGGUUUUGUACAAAAGGACUCCAGAUCUGAAUAUUUUAAGAUGUGUAGAUGCCCAAGAGGCCGAAAGAAUCAUGAAUGAAGUACACACAGGAGUGUGUGGACCCCAUAUGAAUGGAUACGUCAUGGCAAAGAAAAUCCUUCGAGCAGGUUAUUACUGGAUGACUAUGAAAAAAGAUUGCUUUAGUUUUGUCCGAAAGUGUCAUCAGUGUCAGGUACAUGGUGACCUGAAUCAUGCACCACCUUCAGAACUACAUCCUAUGUCAACACUGUGGCCGUUCGUUGCUUGGGGUAUGGAUGUCAUUGGGCCAAUCGAGCCAAAAGCAUCGUAUGGGCACAAAUUCAUAUUGGUUUCGAUUGACUACUUCACAAAAUGGGUUGAAGCAGUCACUCUAAAAGCCGUCACUAAGAAAGCAGUGAUAGACUUCGUGCACUCCAACAUCAUAUGCCAUUUUGGUAUUCCUAAAACUAUCAUUACGGACAAUGCUGCAAAUCUGAAUAGUCAUUUGAUGACGGAAGUAUGCGAACAAUUUAAGAUCAUGCAUCCGAGUUCUACCCCUUAUUGGCCCAAAGCUAAUGGUGUCGUCGAAGCAGCAAACAAGAACAUCAAGAAGAUUCUUAGGAAGAUGAUCCAAAGUUCUAGACAAUGGCAUGAAAAGUUGUCGUUUGCAUUGUUGGGAUAUCACACAACUGUGCGCACAUCAGUUGGAGCAACACCCUAUCUAUUGGUUUAUGGCACUGAAGCCGUAAUACCCGCAGAAUUUGAAAUUCCUUCUCUUCGAAUCAUCGUCAAAGUCGAGAUUGGGAUAGUGAGUGGGUCAAGACCCGUCUAGAACAACUAACCCUGAUUGAUGAAAAGUAAAUGACCGCAGUUUGCCACGGGCAGUUGUAUCAAUGAAUAAUGGCCCGUUCCUACAACAAGAAAGUACGACCUAGAAACUUUGAAGCGGGACAACUCAUUUUGAGAUGUAUUCUCCUGCAUCACAAGGAAGCAAAAGGAAAGUUCGCUCUAAACUGGAAAGGUCCAUACAUUAUAAGGGAAUUGUUGCCGAAGGGGCAUUGUACUUGGGAGACAUUGAAGGAAAUAACCCUGAAACAACUGUAAAUGCAGAAGCUGUCAAAAUGUAUUACAUUUAACCCUUCAGCGGUACUAAUAUUAUCCGAUUAGGAUGACGAAGGCUUUCAUUCUCGCUACCACAAACACUUAAACCCUUUGCUAACCUUUUGAGUCGGUUAUCUUUCUUUGAUUACCCUCUUUGGAACCCGAAAGCUUUUGUAAAAAAAAAAUUUAAAAAAACAUGGUAUCCUAGGGUCCCCAAUCUCUAGUUACAUGUGUGUUUAACAUAGUGUCCAAUCCCCUAGUCGCUUCUAGCAUAACAUGGUAGCCUUUUCCGUUAUAGGGUCCCACUCCCUAGUUGUUUCCCGGCAUAACCCGAGGACCUUUUUUUUCCCGGCAUAACCCGAGGACCCUUUUUUCUUUUCUUAGCAUAACCCGAGGACCCUUUUUUCUUUUCCCGGCAUAAUCUAAGGACCUUUUUUCUUUUCCGGCAUAACUCGAUGACUUUCCCGGCAUAACUCGAGGUCCUUUUUUUCUGGCAUAACCCGAUGACACUCCCGACAUAACCUGAGGACCUUUCUUCUUUCCCGGCAUAACCCGAAGAUCUUUUUUUCUUUUCCCGGUAGAACCCGAGGACCCCUUUUUUUCCUCGCAUAACCCGAGGACCCUUUUUUCUUUUCCCGGCAUAACUCGAGGACCCUGUUUCUUUUCUCGGCAUAACCCGAGGACCUUUUUUCUUUUCCUAGCAUAACCCGGUCAUUUUUCCAGCAUAACCUGGUAAUCUUCCCAACUUGGGGCCUCCGAUCCCCAUUUGAUUGUAUUUUAGACAUAGGGUCUCCACUCUUCAAUCUCUUCUUCUCAGGGAUACACAAUCCCGAUUUUAAUUGCUUUCAAUAAAGAAAUAGUUUAGAUUUUUGUUACAAAAACUCACAAAAUUUUCCUAGUGAAAACUGGGAUAGAAAAUUUUGUUCAUUUGUUUGCCUUGGUGCCUGAACAAGUUUUCACUGUGAGCCAUAAGUUUUGAGAUGACCAAAAGAAGGAGUUUCAAUCCAAAUAAAUGAAAAGAAGAACAAGAAAAGAAGUUGAACUCUAAGUAUAGAAGCGGAGAAAAGAUGCGAAUUGCCCAAGAUAUGAUUGAAGUCAUAAGCUUUGCAUGUCCCGCCUUGAUAUGAGAAGCUGAAGAAGAAUGAACCAGCGGUUGCAGCUAACGAGCAUCAAGAUUCAGAUCAGAUUCUGCAGGAAGAACUGGACAAGACUCAAGAUCGAGCUUUAGAAGGUUUAUAGAUAGGAAUCUUGUAACUCGUAGUUGAUAGGCUUAGCUAGUUUAGCUUUUCAUCUUUCAUUUCGAUGUAAUAAGGAGUUCAGUGAGCAGAAACAACAACAACAACAGUGAAAUCACAGUUUUCCGGUAGUCCCAGCUACCAAAACUUCCAGAACUACACUGACCUGAUUUCUUUAUAGCCAAGGAUAUGUAGACAAUCUCCAAAGCAAGGUUCGGUCAGACUUUUUAAAAGGUGCUUCUCAUGGAGUUUCAAACGGGCAAAAAUUGCUCGUAAUUUCUCAUUUUAUCUUUGCCCGAAAACCCUUCAUAUUUUCAAGCAAAGAGGGGCAGCUGUGAGCAUGUGAUUUUUUUCCCUAUAUGAAUUACUCCUAUAAAAUCCAAGAAAAUAGAUUUUUUCCAAUUAUUUACUAUUUUAUAGAAUUUUUGUAGGAUUUUAUUAAUUGUUUGCAUUUUUGUGCACGUUUAAUUUUCAUUAAAAUCAUGAAAAAUGUCAAAAAUACCAUGCAUUGCAUUUAGAUUUUGUUUUUACAUUUUUAGGAAUAAUUAGUUAUUUAUUUUAUUAAAAAUAAAAAUUACAAAAAUGGCCCAUUUUUACAUUUUUAUCUUUUAAUUUAUAGAUUAGUGAUUUUUUUCUUCUAAUUUAGGAUCAUAGUAAUUUUAUAAUUUUCCUAGAUAUUUGGCUUAAUUUUACAAUUUUAGAGUAAUUUAGGAAUUUAAUAUAGGAUAUUUAAUUAAAGAAAAGAAAAAGAAAAAAGAAAAACAAAAAGGAAAUAGUUAGUUAUUUGAAAAGGGUAUUUAUUUUCGAAUUUGGGCCAUUUUAAGCCAAAACCCAGUCCAAAAUCAACCCAGAUCCGAGCCCAAAAUUUAAUUUCCCGGUCCAGCCCCCUAUCUAAACUAAACGACCCCGUUUUGCCACCCCUGAUCACAGCCGUUGGAUCCUAGCUAUCCAGCGGUUCGGAACUGGUUAACCCAAAACCAUAUAACUGUCUGAAAUUCCUCCACCCCCCAUUCGAACCCUCUCUCAUUCCUAUCUCCUUCAACCAAACCCUAAGAGACCAACCUCCCCUAAAUUCCUCGCCGCUUCUGCUGCUAACCGCCACUAAAAAUCGCCUUACGGCAGUUCCGGUGUUCCACCACCAAAUCAACACCCCAGAACCCCCGUCAUCUCCCC